GAUGAACGCUGACAGAAUGCUUAACACAUGCAAGUCUUUGGCGAAUCUGUGCUUGCACAGGCUAGCCAAGGCGGACGGGUGAGUAACGCGUAAAGAACUUGCCCUGCAGACAGGGAUAACAGACGGAAACGACUGAUAACACCUGAUACAGUUGCCGGCACGCAUGUACCUGGCAAUGAAAAGAGAUGCUGCAGAAGAGCUUUGCGUCCUAUUAGCUUGUUGGUGAGGUGACGGCUCACCAAGGCGAUGAUAGGUAGCCGGCCUGAGAGGGUGAACGGCCACAAGGGGACUGAGAUACGGCCCUUACUCCUACGGGAGGCAGCAGUGGGGAAUAUUGGACGAUGGGGGCAACCCUGAUCCAGCAAUUCUGUGUGCACGAAGAAGGUUUUCGGAUUGUAAAGUGCUUUCAGCAGGGAAGAAGAAAGUGACGGUACCUGCAGAAGAAGCGACGGCUAAAUACGUG
rnacentral:rRNA from 1 species